AAGCAUUCUUACAUCAUCACAAGAAGGAUGAGUACAGUACCAUAGGAUAUUUUGAGAGAAAGAGACAGAAAGAGAGAGAGAGAGUGAGAGAGAGAGAGAGAAAGAGAGAUGGAGAGGGAGAGACAGAGACAGACCAUAUUCACAUAAGUUUUAUUACAGCAUAUUGUUCUAAUUGUUAGCUAUUGUUGUUAAUCUCUUGUGUCUAACUUAUAAAUUACAGUUUAUCCUAGGCUAGGGCUUGCUGAGCUUUGAAGAAGACUUCCAGUGCAAGUGGAUUACAUAUUGACCUCACCUGGCCUAGAUCAUUGACCAAUUGGAAUGGUAGGGGGGAUAAUACUUGCUGCCCCAAGCAUGUUUCACCCCCUCUUUGAAUGAGACACUCCAAAAGCCUCAUUCCAAUUGUGCUGGAAAUCUCUCCUCUCACUGCUGCUCACUGUCAUGUACAGGGCAAUGUAAACAAAUUACUCCAUACCCUAAUCAAAGGUUUGAAUAUUCUCUCCACCGUUUUCAACUUAAGCUGGUUUCUCAAAGGAGCCCACAUCCCCUACAGUCUCUGUCACAUGGAGGUUUUUGUCUUUCCUGUCCCUCAGUACAAUAUUACAGAACACUAUGUCAUCUAUAUAUUCUACUGUUGCUAACCCUGUCACCUACCAGACUUCCAAUUAUUUUCCCUCAUUUACUAAGACUUGACACCUGGAUUAUCGUCAUCUUUGCUCUUUGUCCUGACAUCAUCUGAGUGAGUUCAGAUAUCUGGCUGUGAAUGAAUCUUCUAACAUCCUGGCCUUUCACAUUUUUAUCUCCUCAACUCCCCUCUAGCUUAGCAACCCAAUCCCAUGAAAUUGCUUAACCUCUCAAAACCUAUACUCUAGAUCCAAGAGUAUUACUCCUGGACCAAACCUCUAUGCCUUUCAUCUCUUUUACUCCCAUAUCCUCCAACAUCUGUCCUUUCAUCUUUAGUCCCUGAACCACUAUGCAUUCUCUUCACUGGACGCUUUCUUCUGUCCUCUCCUACCCAGCCCAGACCCACAAUCCACCAUUGUAACCACCCUGUCAUCAUUAAUCACAAUUAAUGGUUCUCCCUUCUCAUUCUUCUCAUCAAAACCUCAAGUCUGAGUCAAUAAAAACUUUUGGAUUCUCAGAGAGACAUUAGACAAAAUCAUAUAACUGCAGUUUAUUUUCAUGUAGAUUCAUGAUCCCUUUCCUUAGAGAGGUCCUGAACCCUUCCCCUUAUUCCUACUCACCUCCUAUAUAAUUUCUCUCUGUAGUCUGUCUAAUCUUGGGUUUCAAGUCUCAAAUUCCUCAUUUGCUUUCAAUUCAAUUAAAAUACAUUUAAGCUAAGAAUUUUCUCAACUUAUUUUCUACCCAAAGAACUCUUCCUAUCUCAAUGGUACAGGUUCUUAUAUGUUCAAAUAUUAUUGUGUUAGGUCAUU
rnacentral:lncRNA from 1 species